rnacentral:lncRNA from 1 species
UUUUUUUUCCACAAAACUUCCCUGAACCUGCAGCUUUACAUCCUACAUCUUUCUGGGUUUCUUACUAGCCUGUGUCCUCUGCGUGAGCUGCUUUGGGACUGGCUUCCCAAAUGCAUGUUUUUAAUGCAGCGGGUGCUCUAAUUCCUCUCAAAGAGGAACUAACCCUUCCCCAGGGAAGUGAACAUCCUCCUCCAUGUUUACAGUUGGCACUAGCAGCUUUUCCUUAAACCCUGUUAUAAAUUAUACAGCACAGUUCUCAUGAGUUCGCUUGGCAGAAUAAUUGUAUAUGUCCCCACCUCAAAUUGUCCCCACCCCUUGCUCCUCAACAGAAGCAGCAGUUUGGGUGAGUCCAUCUCAACCACAGCACGGAGGCAGCCAGGAAAUAUCUCCAAGUCCAUGACCACGAGUGUUGGAAACCUUCUCUGGAACUCCUAGAAUAAGGCCAGAAGUAGAAGCCAUCAUGAACAUAGAGUUCUGAUAAGCCUCUCAAUGCUUGCCAUAUAAAACACAAAAAAUGGGUUAUAUAAAUAACAUUCUGUGAAAAUGUCUUUAAUGGUUGUGCUUUGACAUAUCUUUAAGAUCAUAAACUUCACUCUUUUUAAUGCUUUUGGUAAGACUUGUAAUGAGAAAAGACAAUUCUGAAGUCCUUGACAUUAAUAAGUCUAUUGUAAAAAGGUCACCUUCCCCUAAGAAUGUUUUAUUAUCAGUGAAGCAGAAUAGCUCUGAAUAUGUAAUGACUUUUAUCUGAUGAUUGCCCUGUAUUCUCCUCCAAAGAAAGCAAGCGUCAGAUGUUGAUAAUUUACAUAUAAGUGUUGAAGGGUCUGGCAGCAGAAAAACAAACUGGUUCGGAGAAAUUAAUUAUAAAGCAGCUACAGAAGAGACAUGAAAAUUAACAUCUCAUCUUCAUGUGUCUCUAGGAGGAAUUAAAAAGCACCACAGGACUGUCCUCCAGAACACUCCUGUACAUCGCUCAGGUGAAGUACAACACACACAGCAGAGUCACUUCCCGUGUAAAUCACUGCAAACACUGUUUCUCGUUUGCAUUUGGGUUUUCCGCUUUGGUGUAGAAACUCCACCACUUGCACUCAGCAGCACACAGGAUUAGGAGGCGCACAGAGAGAAUGCCCAUGAAUGUUGGUGACAACAGGAACGCAGACUGACAGCCAAGACUGACGGCCACAGCGACCCGGUGUCAC